AGACCACUGGGUUGAUAGGCCGGAUGUGGAAGCGAGGACUAACGACUCGUGAAGCUGACCGGUACUAAUAGGCCAACAACUUACAC
rnacentral:rRNA from 1 species